GUUAGGCUGUAUGUUAAGGUCUGACAGCCUCAGUCACCACUCACUUUCGUUGCUUUUUUUUCCCUCCAUACAGUGAAAGUGAAAAAAAUAAAGUUUUACAGGUUUGAAACAACAUCAGGGCUCCUUGUUGCGUUCUUUUUCGCAGGAUUAGGUCUUUUUCGACAGUGUUUUUAGUCCCCACAGCGUCUGUCUGGCCGUCUGCAUGUGUUGCCGAAGCGCAGUCACAGAAAAAGGAUCAUUUGUGCAAAAAUCAACCUAAGAAAUGGUCAAAAUCACACGCAGCGCGCUGGAGCUGCUCGGCCGUUGUCAUGGAUAACAUGGUGGGCACCCUGUCUCGGUCAGCGGGACAUCCUGCAGAUUGAGCCGGGCACCCCGCGGAGCCACGGAGCGGCCUUUAAAAUUGACCCCCCGCGGAGGACCGGGGCCCCUCUUGUCUCGUCUGAGCGCACGCCUGGAGACCGCUUUUAAAUGUGCUUCUGGUGUCCCAGAGAGAGAGGCCGCUGGCACGAAGGGGCGAAAGCUCACCGCAGUGGUCCCUUUUUCUCUGAUAAAUUCAAAGGAGGAAAAUAGCCCACAUUACAAGCUCCUUAAGGGUCAAGGACAGCCGAGACAUGAAUGGUUUGAAAGAGUGGCAUUGUGAAAUCACAUAGCACGCGAUUACACCCUCUGUCAUCUUUUUACGGAUUUGCAUUUUUCUUGAGCCACAAUGAACAGUUCAGAAUAAGACUUACAAGACAUGUGGAUGAAAUUAAUUAAGACGCUGGAGAAAAAGAGGUGUGAACUGCAAUUGCGGUGGUCCUGUUUGGAAUAGAUGCCGUUGCUAUUUUAGGACGAUUUUAAUGAGUGGCAAAUCAUUUUUUGAGCUUGGAUGACUGCAUGCGAUUUGAAAAAUAUUGAAUGUUUAGAAGAGGAAGAAAAUCUCUCAUUGGACAUAAUAAGGACGGAGGCAUUUGCAACACUUCAUUUGCCUGCUAACUGAAUUCAAAUGGCCUCAGCAUUGGCUAGUAUUUUCUUUCACACAGCAGGGACGGUGGUAGAUUGAUGCCCUUACAUUAUUCAUGCGACGAUUAUUCAAAAUUUAGCAAUAACUCAAGAGCGUUUUGUCCUUUCUCUCAACCGUCUCCUCUCUCACCGUACCUGGGUAUGCUACUAUUCUUAUGCGACUAUCAUCCAUUGGACAGUGCGGACCCAGAAAGCACCCUUAAACACUCCCCCAUUGUACUGUCACAAGCCUGGAGAGUUCAUGUUAUAUUUAUGUUGCCUACAGCGUAUUCUCUCUGUUCUGUUCUGUUCAGCUGAACUCACGCCAACUCCUCCAGGUCCCCCCUCCACAGACAAUGUUACAUCUCAUUGGCUUUGCCCUAGAUAGGCUAUUUUUGUAUGAAAUAAUUAGACAUAACUGAUUUAAAUACUGCAAAGCCAACACUCUUUUGUCUCGUUAACAAAGUACAGGAGAGGCGCACGUUCGCGGUGUCACUUCUGUCAAUCCGUACGAGGAGGUUUAAAACACAAAUGCGUUUCCAGCUAAUGGAUCUGAGGCAGAGCCAAAAAAAAUGAGUCAUUUUAUUAGCUUCCUUCGAUUCGGUUUUUACUUUCGGGACCGAGCUACGAUGACCUGACCUGAUAGAAUCUAUUACGAAAGCAAAAAAAUGUCAGGAAAGCAAUGCCAGAAGCUUUUAAUUGUCUCAACGUGUACAUCAGCAAAAUAUAGAAUUGCUAAAAUAUGCCACCGUACAGCAUUAAUUGUCCAUAUAAGGACAGCGCGGCGCUUGAAACAGCACGUUUUGUUUGUUACAGUGACCCCGGACCCAGACAGCCGUGCUGAUGCCGAGUGCACAUGGGCACACGAGGGAGAGGUGGAGAGCAGGAACGCAGAUUGGGGCUGACCGCUCGGCUGCACUUUAAUGUACCCUCUACUUCAUCAGUCCUGAUUAGCCACCAUAAAAAUCCAGAUUGAACAUUACAUUUUUACUGCUGAUUGUCUUCCAAACACUCUCAGGUGUUGGCGUGUUAAAUGCCAGGGUGUGCAUCUGUCCUCGCAUCCCAUUAGCUUGCUGCAGUGAGACGUCUGACUUGGAAAAAGGGGGACCCUCUUCAGAAACGAAAGCAAUGCAGAACAAAUUUCAGGCUUUUAGGCUUACCGCGUCUUGUGCCAAAACCUCAAUAACAAGCCCCCCUCCAGCCCCCGUUUCCCUGGCUCUUGCCCCAGACUUACACAAAGAAACACCAGCUUUAUGGACUUAGGGCAUUAAAGCAUAAAAAACAGCGGACGGAGAACAGGUUCGGAACACAUGGCGCCAAACGCAGGGCCCGAUCACGUCAGAUCGCACAGGCUACACGCUUUAACGCUCCAAUUCUUAGGUGCACGGCCGUGUUUUCAAAAGGGCACAUGAAAGGGCUUAGCGAGAGAGAGAGAGAUGAGCAACGGCGGCGAGGAGGCCGGCGCUCUAGCAAAAACGCUUUUCUGAUGAGCUGCAACAAUGCACUCACUCCCACGACAUCAGCUCUCUGUUGGGAGUCUCCUCCUAAUUUCCUCCAUCCAUAAUAAAAAGAGCUACAUUAAACAGU